rnacentral:lncRNA from 1 species
CUGCUUCUGGGUGAUAGGCCUGAGACCCUGGGCUGCUUCAUGGAUACCUCUUAUAUGAAGCAACAGCUAUAAAUUACUGGGGGAAAGACAGUAAGCCUUUGCAUUUACAGGACCUCUGUGGAAAGGGAAGAACCAAAAAACCCGUCUGAUUCUGGAUGAGUCCUUCUCUUCACCAGGAGACAGACAAAUGCACACUGAUUCUCGAAGAAUAGAGGCAAAAAUUCUCUUGAGUCUAAGAUGUUGAACCAAUACAAAUAUAGUACAGAGCAGCAGUCUGCUACCAUUGGAAGAAGGACAGAAAAAUCCCUCUGCCCAAGAACCACCAUAAUUUCAUGGCAGAGUCCAACAGUCAUAGGUGGGAGGAAGAGAAAGCCUUAUCCAUCUGUAUUCAAUCCUAUUCAAGAAGAGGCACAUAGACCUUGCCUAAGACAAAGGAGACUAAGAUCCACCCUGGACCCAAAAUGAGCGUACAUUGAAUAACAAGCAACAGCAGUGUGGCACUGGGGAAGAUACAGGAGUAUACAGAGACCCCCUCUAUAAUAUAGGUGUACAAUGGUUGCUGUGGAGUAGUGACACUGAGGAUAAUCUUCCAUCACUGCACUGUAAUAACCCCCCACUCAGUGAAAGGUAAAGGCACCUCCAUACUGAAAGGAUUAAAAGUCUGUGGUACAUAAGGUAACAAUAAU